UAAGAUAGGCUAAAUUGGACGGGAGAUUCGAAAGAGCGAAGAAGAAGCUUUAAACUCGUGUUUCAAUGCGGAGACGCAAUGAAGAGAACUGAAAAAUGAAACAUCUUAGUAUCAGAGUGGUGCAGAGAAAUCAAACGAGAUUCCCGUAAGUAGCAGGGAGCGAAAGCGGAGGAGUUCAGAAAGUGAGUAAAUAGUGGAAGAAAGGAGUUCACAUAUCUAAGACUAAAUGUUAGUCCUAUACUGAAAGCGCGAGUACUGUGAAGGAAAGUUGAAAGAGACUUGAAAAGAUCUGGAAAUUUGUCUUUUAAAGCAGCUGUAAAACAGUGUACCUUUUGUAUAAUGGGUUUAUGAGAUAUCGUUUGGCAAAUUUAAGUAAACUUUCUUGAGGAUAAAAUGUAGGUGAAGAGAAGUCGAGAAGGCUCUUUAGUCAAAUUUCCCGAAACCAAGUGAUCUAACCAUGGGCAGUUUAAAAGAACGAACCGGUGGUUGUAGCAAAAACCUCGGAUGACCUGUGGUUAGGGGAGAAAGACCAAUCGGACUUGGAGAUAGCUGGUUUUCUGCGAAAACUAUGUAAGUAGUGCGUUCACACAGGGCAUUGUGUUAAUGAAAAGAAGAACCUUAAUUAGUUGAACUAUUUAAUUCUUUUUCAUUAGACGCCUUAUUAAAAUUUUAGGGUAAAGGCCUAUCGCUUUAAGGGGGAUAGACUUUGAAGGUAAAAUUCGAAGUGGACAGACAGACAGGGGGCGAAUAGGUCCGUUGUUAAAAGGGGGGAGCCCAAAUCAGAAGUUAAAGUUAAAGAUUCAAUAAUUAAGUGUAAAAGGAGUAUGGGAUUUAGACAAUGAAGAAGUAGGCUUGGAGCCAGCCAUCUUUGAAAGAAUGCGUAGUAGUUCACUCAAGAACUCUUUUUCCCCAAAAAUUAUGGUGGCUAAAAAUUGAACUGAAAUUCUGAGGGCAGUAAGAAGUUUGCUUGGUAGUAGAACAGACUGUUAGGUGGUGGUGAGAACCCAAGAAUCAGAAGAGAUAAUGUGAACAUGAGUAAAAAAAUCGUUGCUUCAUCUCCCCUGGUUUCCAAGCCUAAGGGUUUGGGUGAAACAGCCUCUAAGGAGGUUACCGAUGGGUGAUAAUAAUAAACGCAUAAAGUGCCAGGAAAUAAUUAUAACAAAAUAUUACUGUUGCAAACUAACACAAGUGGGAGAUAGUGAGGGGGAAAGUUUUUUUAAGGAACUCGGCCAGUUUCUAGCUCUCAUUAGAGGGUUUAAACACAAGGCCUCGGCUGUUUACCAAAAACAUAGCUUUUUGCUAAUAUGAAGGUAGAAGUAUGAAAGGUGAGACCUGCCCAAUGGUUGUAUCUAAAAGGGUUGGUAGAGCCAGCUUUAUAAAGACAAUUAAAUGGCCGCGGUAACACUGACCGUGAUAAUGUAGCGUAAUCAAUAGUCAAUUAAUUGUUGGCCGGUAUGAAUGGUGUCACGAGGGUCUCACUGUCUUAAGGAAAUUUCCAGUGAAAUUGAAUUUGUAGUGAAGAUGCUACAUCCAAAUUGUUAGACAAGAAGUCCCCAUGGAACUUUACUGGAAACUUAUGUGGCUUAAAUUAAUUUAUUUCUUACAAAUAAAUAGUUUUUAAAUGUGGUGUUAACCUCUCGGAUUAACGAGGGUUAGAAAAGCUCACUCUUUUAUUUUAAGAAAGCCAACUCAAAAUUUUAUGUCUUUGGGAUUAGAUAAGUGGGACAGUUUGGUUGGGGCGACCGCCUUUAAAAA
rnacentral:rRNA from 1 species